GUCCACGCCGUAACGAUGAGUGCUAAGUGUUAGGGGUUUCCGCCCCUUACGUGCUGCAGCUAACGCAUUAAGCACUCCGCCUGGGGAGUACGGCCGCAAGGCUGAAACUCAAAGGAAUUGACGGGGCCCGCACAAGCGGUGGAGCAUGUGGUUUAAUUCGAAGCAACGCGAAGAACCUUACCAGGUCUUGACAUCCUCUGACAACCCUAGAGAUAGGGCGUUCCCCUUCGGGGGACAGAGUGACAGGUGGUGCAUGGUUGUCGU
rnacentral:rRNA from 1 species